CAACAAUCUUCUCCAGUUGGAGCAGUUGGACGGUUGACCACUGAAAGCCCUGACGCCCUACACUUCGGUGAAGCCCGUGAGACAAAGUGCAGCAUCCAGAAGUAGGAGGCCUCCUCGCGGUGGGCGACAUCGCCAUGCUGUCAACAGUACCAACACUGGCCCAGGGGUUUAUCCAGAUAGUCAGUCUCAAGGCUAACCACUGGUUCACGGGACCUCUUUGACUGUGGAGUGGCCAGCAGUCCAGAAGUAGAGAGGGGGCACAGAUUGUGGGCUGUUUGCUAUUGCUCUCUGCAGAGAUGAGGAACCCUCCAUGGCACGAUACGAUCAGAAAUCCAUGAGAAAACAUAUUUCCUCUUGUUUUCAGGCUGGUUACCUGGCGCCAUUACCCAGUCCCAAUUCCAUCCCGAUUCCAGCCAUGAGUGCACAAAAAUAAUAAUCUGUGAAAAUAAAUGAUGGACACUAUACCAAAAUGUUUAUGUAUUAAAAUCUGAAAUAUUGCCAGGUUGGUUUUCACAGCUGUUUCAUAGGAUGUUUAUUAUUGUAAAUUGUAAGGUGUCUUUUGGUGGUAUUUAUUUGUUCCACAUUAUUCAAUGUUGUAUCCUAGGACCAACAAUAGAUCCAUAUAUAUUCAACCACAAGGGUGUACCAAUGAGCCGUGCGAGAUAGAACAACAUGAAACAUAAUAGAGGGCUACUGAAAUGAUGUUAUGUCAGUGUAGACAAGGGAAGGGCAGGUAACAUAAA